rnacentral:rRNA from 1 species
AUACGGAGGGUGCAAGCGUUAAUCGGAAUUACUGGGCUUAAAGCGCGCGUAGGCGGAUAUUUAAGUCUCAUGUGAAAGCCCUGGGCUCAACCUGGGAACUGCAUGGGAUACUGGGUAUCUAGAAUACAGUAGAGGGUAGUGGAAUUUCAGGUGUAGCGGUGAAAUGCGUAGAGAUCUGAAGGAACAUCAGUGGCGAAGGCGACUACCUGGACUGAUACUGACGCUGAGGUGCGAAAGCGUGGGGAGCAAACGGGAUUAGAAACCCUAGUAGUCC